rnacentral:rRNA from 1 species
CCUACGGGAGGCAGCAGUGAGGAAUAUUGGUCAAUGGGCGUAAGCCUGAACCAGCCAAGUAGCGUGAAGGAUGAAGGUUCUAUGGAUCGUAAACCUCUUUUAUAUGGGAAUAAAGUGUGGGACGUGUCCUGUUUUGUAUGUACCUUAUGAAUAAGGAUCGGCUAACUCCGUGCCAGCAGCCGCGGUAAUACGGAGGAUCCGAGCGUUAUCCGGUUUUAUUGGGUUUAAAGGGUGCGUAGGCGGCCUUUUAAGUCAGCGGUGAAAGUCUGUGGCUCAACCAUAGAAUUGCCGUUGAAACUGGGAGGCUUGAGUAUGUUUGAGGCAGGCGGAAUGCGUGGUGUAGCGGUGAAAUGCUUAGAUAUCACGCAGAACCCCGAUUGCGAAGGCAGCCUGCCAAGCCAUGACUGACGCUGAUGCACGAAAGCGUGGGGAUCAAACAGGAUUAGAUACCCUUGUAGUC